rnacentral:rRNA from 1 species
UACAGAGGUCCCGAGCGUUGUUCGGAUUCACUGGGCGUAAAGGGUGCGUAGGUGGUGAGGUAAGUCGGAUGUGAAAGCUCCGAGCUCAACUCGGAAAUGGCAUUGGAAACUACCUUGCUAGAGGGUUUGAGGGGGGACUGGAACACUUGGUGUAGCAGUGAAAUGCGUAGAUAUCAAGUGGAACACCAGUGGCGAAGGCGAGUCCCUGGAAAACUCCUGACACUGAGGCACGAAAGCUAGGGGAGCAAACAGG